rnacentral:rRNA from 1 species
AACGAACGCUGGCGGCAUGCCUAACACAUGCAAGUCGAACGAGACCGUCGGGUCUAGUGGCGCACGGGUGCGUAACGCGUGGGAACCUGCCCUUAGGUUCGGAAUAACUCCCCGGAAGGGGUGCUAAUACCGGAUAAUGUCUUCGGACCAAAGAUUUAUCGCCUUUGGAUGGGCCCGCGUUGGAUUAGCUAGUUGGUAGGGGAAAAGCCUACCAAGGCGACGAUCCAUAGCUGGUCUGAGAGGAUGAUCAGCGACACUGGCACUGAGACACGGCCCAGACUCCUACGGGAAGCAGCAGUGGGGAAUAUUGGACAGUGGGGGAAAGCAUGAUCCAGCAAUGCCGCGUGAGUGAUGAAGGCCUUAGGGUUGUAAAGCUCUUUUACCCGGGAUGAUAAUGACAGUACCGGGAGAAUAAGCUCCGGCUAACUCCGUG